ACGCUCGACACCUACGGGAGGCGGCAGUGGGGAAUAUUGCACAAUGGGGGAAACCCUGAUGCAGCGACGCCGCGUGAAGGAAGAAGUAUCUCGGUAUGUAAACUUCUAUCAGCAGGGAAGAAAAUGACGGUACCUGACUAAGAAGCCCCGGCUAACUACGUGCCGCAGCCGCGGUAAUCUGAGCGGGCUGGCAAGGC
rnacentral:rRNA from 1 species